GGAGGAUCCGAGCGUUAUCCGGAUUUAUUGGGUUUAAAGGGUGCGUAGGCGGCCUAUUAAGUCAGGGGUGAAAUACGGUGGCUCAACCAUCGCAGUGCCUUUGAUACUGAUGGGCUUGAAUCCAUUCGAAGUGGGCGGAAUAAGACAAGUAGCGGUGAAAUGCAUAGAUAUGUCUUAGAACUCCGAUUGCGAAGGCAGCUCACUAAGCUGGUAUUGACGCUGAUGCACGAAAGCGUGGGGAUCGAACAGGAUUAGAUACCCUGGUAGUCCACGCCCUAAACGAUGAUAACUCGAUGUUGGCGAUAGACAGCCAGCGUCCAAGCGAAAGCGUUAAGUUAUCCACCUGGGGAGUACGCCCGCAAGGGUGAAACUCAAAGGAAUUGACGGGGGCCCGCACAAGCGGUGGAUUAUGUGGUUUAAUUCGAUGAUACGCGAGGAACCUUACCAAGGCUUAAAUGGGAAUUGAUCGGUUUAGAAGUAGACUUUCCUUCGGGCAAUUUUCAAGGUGC
rnacentral:rRNA from 1 species